rnacentral:rRNA from 1 species
AGAGUUUGAUCCUGGCUCAGGACGAACGCUGGCGGCGUGCUUAACACAUGCAAGUCGAACGGAGCGCCAUGGAAUGAGGUUUCGGCCAAAGGAAAUGGUUGCUUAGUGGCGGACUGGUGAGUAACGCGUGAGGAACCUGCCUUUCAGAGGGGGACAACAGUUGGAAACGACUGCUAAUACCGCAUAAGACCACAGCACCGCAUGGUGCAGGGGUAAAAACUCCGGUGGUACAGGAUGGACCCGCGUCUGAUUAGCUGGUUGGUGAGGUAACGGCUCACCAAGGCGACGAUCAGUAGCCGGCUUGAGAGAGUGAACGGCCACAUUGGGACUGAGACACGGCCCAAACUCCUACGGGAGGCAGCAGUGGGGAAUAUUGCACAAUGGGGGAAACCCUGAUGCAGCGACGCCGCGUGAGCGAUGAAGUAUUUCGGUAUGUAAAGCUCUAUCAGCAGGGAAGAUAAUGACGGUACCUGACUAAGAAGCUCCGGCUAAAUACGUGCCAGCAGCCGCGGUAAUACGUAUGGAGCAAGCGUUAUCCGGAUUUACUGGGUGUAAAGGGAGCGUAGGCGGUCCUGCAAGUCUGAUGUGAAAACCCGGGGCUCAACCCCGGGACUGCAUUGGAAACUGUAGGACUAGAGUGUCGGAGGGGUAAGUGGAAUUCCUAGUGUAGCGGUGAAAUGCGUAGAUAUUAGGAGGAACACCAGUGGCGAAGGCGGCUUACUGGACGACCACUGACGCUGAGGCUCGAAAGCGUGGGGAGCAAACAGGAUUAGAUACCCUGGUAGUCCACGCCGUAAACGA